rnacentral:pre_miRNA from 1 species
GAGUUCCGAAGCUUCAUCUUCUCAGCAGAUUUAAUCCCCGACUUUUACAUAGCCAGAGUGCUUGUAAUAACACCAGGUUUGUAGGGUUGGGGAUUAAAUUGCUCAGAAGUUGAAGUCGGAAUUU